AUGAAGUCACAGACCCAGGUCUUCGUAUUUCUACUGCUCUGUGUGUCUGGUGCUCAUGGGAGUAUUGUGAUGACCCAGACUCCCAAAUUCCUGCUUGUAUCAGCAGGAGACAGGGUUACCAUAACCUGCAAGGCCAGUCAGAGUGUGAGUAAUGAUGUAGCUUGGUACCAACAGAAGCCAGGGCAGUCUCCUAAACUGCUGAUAUACUAUGCAUCCAAUCGCUACACUGGAGUCCCUGAUCGCUUCACUGGCAGUGGAUAUGGGACGGAUUUCACUUUCACCAUCAGCACUGUGCAGGCUGAAGACCUGGCAGUUUAUUUCUGUCAGCAGGAUUAUAGCUCUCCUCC